AGAGUUUGAUCAUGGCUCAGAACGAACGCUGGCGGCAUGCCUAACACAUGCAAGUCGAACGAGACCUUCGGGUCUAGUGGCGCACGGGUGCGUAACGCGUGGGAACCUGCCUUUAGGUUCGGAAUAACAGUGAGAAAUUACUGCUAAUACCGGAUAAUGUCUUCGGACCAAAGAUUUAUCGCCUUUAGAUGGGCCCGCGUUGGAUUAGCUAGUUGGUGGGGUAAAGGCCUACCAAGGCGACGAUCCAUAGCUGGUCUGAGAGGAUGAUCAGCCACACUGGGACUGAGACACGGCCCAGGCUCCUACGGGAGGCAGCAGUGGGGAAUAUUGGACAAUGGGCGAAAGCCUGAUCCAGCAAUGCCGCGUGAGUGAUGAAGGCCUUAGGGUUGUAAAGCUCUUUUACUGGGGAUGAUAAUGACAGUACCCAGAGAAUAAGCUCCGGCUAACUCCGUGCCAGCAGCCGCGGUAAUACGGAGGGAGCUAGCGUUGUUCGGAAUUACUGGGCGUAAAGCGCACGUAGGCGGCUUUUUAAGUCAGGGGUGAAAUCCCGGGGCUCAACCCCGGAACUGCCCUUGAAACUGGGAAGCUAGAAUCUUGGAGAGGCGAGUGGAAUUCCGAGUGUAGAGGUGAAAUUCGUAGAUAUUCGGAAGAACACCAGUGGCGAAGGCGACUCGCUGGACAAGUAUUGACGCUGAGGUGCGAAAGCGUGGGGAGCAAACAGGAUUAGAUACCCCUGGUAGUCCACGCCGUAAACGAUGAUAACUAGCUGUUCGGGUUCAUAGAACUUGAGUGGCGCAGCUAACGCAUUAAGUAUCCGCCUGG
rnacentral:rRNA from 1 species